AGAGAGAGAAGGAGGGAGGGGGUUGAAUGGCUGCUGUGCUGUGAUGUUGCGGUUGCUGCUUGGGUACUCACUUGAAGGGGAGAUGGAGGGAUGGGACGUUUAUUAAUUAGAUGGAGUCAAUUUUCCAUAAUGCCCCUACUUUCUCUUAUAGAGAAGCUCCUUUCUAGACAAAUUCUUUUCUUUACCUUGACCAUAAAAUGCCAUGGGAUGACCUUUUUCUAUUCCGCUCUUGCUUGACAUGAUAAACAAUAUUGCCAAGCAUUAUCUUAGUUAUUUAAUCAGUUUUAUGGCCUUUUUU
rnacentral:lncRNA from 1 species